AUGCUAAUCCAGCUCGCCUGUGCACAAGCGACCAACGGACAACAAAGUGACAAUUUCCUCUUCUCUCACUCCCUCCUCUUCUUGAGUUCCGCGCUUGGUGCACUGGCAGUGAUGAUUGCUGCGCUGCCCAUCAGAGCCAAUCAAUGUGUGGCGCAGGGGCAGCAGCUUAUUCACAGGAUCUUCAUUGUGGUUUUUAUGAUAGCAGUGCACAUGAUGGCUACUGAAUGGAUGAUGGUGGAGGUCAUGCCACUGGUUUGCAUGCCGGAGUUUAUUGCAUCACUUGUGUGGCUCACUGGUGAUUUUGAUCACGCCAGAUGUAUGGUGCUCAUCGACAAGGUAACAUCACGCAGAUCAACAGUCACCUUUCUCACUGCAGCAGUGGCUCUGUUAGCGUUCAUGUUUGCAUUUGAGAACGAGAUGUGGCGGCCGGAUAUCUCUGCUAAUGUGUCCCUUGACUGGCCGAGCGUUAGUGCGAUCCUUUCCAUAAGGAUCCUCGAGUUCUCGGCACUGAUUUGCUUUGCUAUGUCAGCUGUGCUUCUCUUCAUUGGGUUCCUCUUGAAUUACUCAAUGUUGUAG
rnacentral:rRNA from 1 species